rnacentral:rRNA from 1 species
AACAGCUCAAAUUUGAAAUCUGGCCCUUGGGUCCGAGUUGUAAUUUGUAGAGGAUACUUUUGGCGCGGUGCCUUCCGAGUUCCCUGGAACGGGACGCCUUAGAGGGUGAGAGCCCCGUACGGUUGGACACCAAGCCUCUGUAAAGCUCCUUCGACGAGUCGAGUAGUUUGGGAAUGCUGCUCUAAAUGGGAGGUAAAUUUCUUCUAAAGCUAAAUACCGGCCAGAGACCGAUAGCGCACAAGUAGAGUGAUCGAAAGAUGAAAAGCACUUUGAAAAGAGGGUUAAAUAGCACGUGAAAUUGUUGAAAGGGAAGCGUUUACGACCAGACCUUUUCCUAGCGGAUCAUCCGGUGUUCUCACCGGUGCACUUCGCUAGGUCGAGGCCAGCAUCGGUUUCUGUAGGGGGAUAAAAGCUGGGGGAACGUAGCUCCCUCGGGAGUGUUAUAGCCCCCAGCAUAAUACCCUUAUAGGGACCGAGGACCGCGCCUAGGCAAGGAUGCUGGCAUAAUGGUCGUCAACGACCCGUCUUGAAACACGGACCAAGGAGUCGAACAUUUGUGCAAGUGUUUGGGUGUUAAACCCUCACGCGUAAUGAAAGUGAACGGAGGUGAGAGCCCUUACGGGUGCAUCAUCGACCGAUCCUGAUGUUUUCGGAUGGAUUUGAGUAAGAGCAUAACUGUUCGGACCCGAAAGAUGGUGAACUAUGCGUGGAUAGGGUGAAGCCAGAGGAAACUCUGGUGGAGGCUCGCAGCGGUUCUGACGUGCAAAUCGAUCGUCAAAUCUGCGCAUGGGGGCGAAAGACUUAUCGAACCAUCUAGUAGCUGGUUACCGCCGAAGUUUCCCUCAGGAUAGCAGUGUUGAUCUUCAGUUUUAUGAGGUAAAGCGAAUGAUUAGGGACUCGGGGGCGCUUUUUUGCCUUCAUCCAUUCUCAAACUUUAAAUAUGUAAGAAGCCCUUGUUACUUAAUUGAACGUGGGCAUUCGAAUGUACCAACACUAGUGGGCCAUUUUUGGUAAGCAGAACUGGCGAUGCGGGAUGAACCGAACGCGGGGUUAAGGUGCCGGAGUGGACGCUCAUCAGACACCACAAAAGGUGUUAGCACAUUUAGACAAUAGGACGGUGGCCAUGGAAGUCGGAAUCCGCUAAGGACUGUGUAACAACUCACCUAUCGAAUGUGCUAGCCCUGAAAAUGGAUGGCGCUCAAGCGUCCCACCCAUACCCCGCCCUCA